rnacentral:rRNA from 1 species
AUAAACGCUGGCGGCGUGCUUAGCAUGCAAGUCGAACGGAUGCUCGCAAGAGUAUGAGUGGCAGACGGCUGAGGAAGACGGAAGGAACCUACCCUUCAGAGGGGGAUAACUCCGCGAAAGCGGGGCUAAGACCGCGUACGCUCAUUCUGGGGAGAACGGAGUGAGGAAAACCGCGAGGUGCUGAAGGAGGGGCUUCCGGCCCAUCAGGUAGUUGGUGAGGUAACGGCCCACCAAGCCGAUGACGGGUCGCUGGUCUAAGAGGAUGAUCAGCCAGACUGGGACUGAGACACGGCCCAGACUCCUACGGGAGGCAGCAGCUAGGAAUCUUGCGCAAUGGGCGAAAGCCUGACGCAGCGACGCCGCGUGGGGGAUGAAGGUUUUCGGAUUGUAAACCCCUUUUAGGUGGGACGAGAAUGGACGGUACCAUCUGAAGAAGCCCCGGCUAACUACGUGCCAGCAGCCGCGGUAAUACGUAGGGGGCGAGCGUUGUCCGGAUUUACUGGGCGUAAAGAGCGCGUAGGCGGUCUUGUAGGUUGGUUGUGAAAGGUGCGGGCUUAACCCGCAAUGGUCAACCAAAACCGCUCGACUUCGAGGGCAGUAGAGGAAGGUGGAAUUCCCGGAGUAGCGGUAAGAUGCGUGGAUCUCGGGAGGAACACCAAUGGCGAAGGCAGCUUCUUGGCUCAUUCCUGACGUUGAGGCACGAAAGCGUGGGGAGCGAACAG